GGAGGUAGUGACGAAAAAUAACAAUAUAGAACUAGUUAACUAUGUUCUGUAAUUGGAAUGAAUCUAUUCUAAACUCAUAUAUGAGGAUCAAGUGGAGGGCAAGUUCGGUGCCAGCAGCCGCGGUAAUUCCGACUCCACUAGCGUAUGUUAAAAUUGUUGCGGUUAAAACGUUCGAAGUUGAUUUUUGUCCGGUUCGAGCGCGGCACCAUCAAGUAAUGGUUGCUGUCGUUUUCGGUGACUUGGACUAUAUGACCGGGCACUUAAUGAACGGCGCUGAUGCCUUUCAUUAGGCUAGGCGUCCGUUUAGUCCGGCUUACUAUUACCUUGAACAAAUUAAGGUGCUCAAAGCAGGCUCUAUAUGCCUUGAAUAUUUUUGCAUGGAAUAAUGGAAAAAGACCUCGGUCUUAUAGGUGAUGUGUAUGAAAUAUUGCACUUGCCGCUUUCUAUUGGUUUGAUACAGAUCAAGAGGUAAUGAUUAAUAGAAGCAGUCGGGGGCAUUAGUAUUACGGCGCGAGAGGUGAAAUUCUUAGACCGUCGUACGACUAACUAAAGCGAAGGCAUUUGUCAAGGAUGUUUUCAUUAAUCAAGAACGAAAGUUUAAGGAUCGAAGACGAUUAGAUACCGUCCUAGUUUAAACAGUAAACGAUGACAACUAGCAAUUGGAUGUCACUACUAUUCAUGGUGCAUUCAGUAGCUUUCCGGGAAACUAAAGUUAGUUUCCGGGGGAAGUAUGGUUGCAAAGUUGAAACUUAAAGGAAUUGACGGAAGUUUACACCAGAAAUGGAACCUGCGGCUUAAUUUGACUCAACACGGGACAACUUACCAGGUCAGAACUUUAUGGGGUUUGCCAGCUUUAUAGCGCUUGCAUAAAAUAAAGGGUAGUGGUGCAUGGCCGUUCUUAGUUCGUGGAAUGAUUUGUCUGGUUGAUUCCGAUAACG
rnacentral:rRNA from 1 species